rnacentral:misc_RNA from 1 species
CUCAAAGAUCGUUUAGUCAAGCUGGUCUGUUCUGAUUGUGGAGAGCAAAGGCUCUCUUCUUGCUCUUGCUCCGAGAUCUCUUCCAAUCGCAAUUCCUGCACUGUUGAGGUAGGCAGUGUUGGUCGCAUUUCGUUCUUGAUAGAAAACGAUAAAAAAACUGAUAUUUUUUCCCAUUCUAAUUCUAAGCCCAAAACUAGUGGAGAGAAAGCAGAUGAAAUAAUCUUGCUUAAGAGAAGCAGUAGUAGCUGUGUUGAGAUCAAGAGGAAAGGUGGGUUUUGGCGGAUUGGCAAGUUUGGCAAGAAAAGGGAAAAGGCUUGUGAGAGAAGCAGUGUUGGUGGUUUCGAAGAAAAAAGUGAUCUCUGGGUUGUUGAUUACAUGGGUGUAUCCAGGUCCAGGUCUCUAUGCAGUUUCAGAGGAG